rnacentral:rRNA from 1 species
UACGUAGGCAGCGAGCGUUGUUCGGAGUUACUGGGCGUAAAGGGUGUGUAGGCGGUUCUCUAAGUUUGGUGUGAAAUCUCCCGGCUCAACCGGGAGGGUGCGCCGAAAACUGGAGGCUAGAGUGCGGGAAGGGAGAGUAGAAUUCCGUGGUGUAGCGGUGAAAUGCGUAGAUAUCAGGAGGAAUACCGGUGGUGUAGACGGCUCUCUGGACCGCGACUGACGCUGAGACGACGAAAGCGUGGGUAGCAAACAGG